UGAACGCUAGCGGGAGGCUUAACACAUGCAAGUCGAGGGGUAAGGUCUCUUCGGAGAAUCACGACCGGCGCACGGGUGAGUAACGCGUAUGCAACCUACCUAUAACACAAGGAUAGCUCCCGGAAACGGGAAUUAAUACUUGAUGACAUUCAAAGAUGGCAUCAUCAAUGAAUCAAAGUUCCGGCGGUUAUAGAUGGGCAUGCGUGACAUUAGCUAGUUGGUGAGGUAGAGGCUCACCAAGGCGACGAUGUCUAGGGGGUCUGAGAGGAUGAUCCCCCACACUGGUACUGAGACACGGACCAGACUCCUACGGGAGGCAGCAGUGAGGAAUAUUGCGCAAUGGAGGAAACUCUGACGCAGCCAUCCCGCGUGCAGGAUUGACGGCCCUAUGGGUUGUAAACUGCUUUUCUAUACCAAGAAACACCGAUACGUGUAUCGGUUUGCCGGUAGUAUAGGAAUAAGCAUCGGCUAACUCCGUGCCAGCAGCCGCGGUACUACGGAGGAUGCAAGCGUUAUCCGGAAUCACUGGGUUUAAAGGGUGCGCAGGCGGAAAUAGUAAGUCAGAGGUGAAAGCCCA
rnacentral:rRNA from 1 species